CCUAGGAAGGAAGUCAGGACCAGGUCAGGCCCCAACCCUCCAUCAUAACCACAGAGUGUCUGGGCUGCAUGUCCCCGAAGACAUCAUCGUCUGCAAAAGUUCUCAUUUUACAGUGUGAGGCAUGAAAUGCCCAAGGUCACACAGCUGGUGAGAGCCAACGCCUGUGCUGAAGUCCACGUCCUUCACCUUUCAGUUGAGGCACUCUUCAUGGAGCCUGCUUCUGCUUAGAGUCCUACAUCUGCCUUCAGUGGAAACCUCUAAAUUUCACUUAAACAGAACUCUAGCUAAUCUCAAAGAAUGAGUCCAACUAGGAUAAAGUUCUCCCACCUUGAACAAAGACAUUAACCAUUUAAUGGGAGAUGUGGACUCAGAAUCUCUCUGCUCUCCCUCAGGAUCUCGGCAGCGCUGAGUCCAGGGACAGAAUGACCUCUCCUUCCCGUGACAACCGAGCAGGAAGUGGAUUUGGCUCCCAUCUCUCAGGUGACUCAGAGUCUUCCUCAAAGACCGGAUAAUACCUUCUUCCUUCUGUGUCCAUCUUCCCCCUAUGGAUAAGAAACUUGCAGUUCACGUUCUCUGAGACUCGUCCUGUUCUAGAAAUGGAUGAUGCCAUGACCUGCUUGCUGUUCCUGAGAAGAGACCAUUUUAACUAAAGAUCAAUGUCUCACUCUACAAAGCCCUGCCUUUGCUAGCACCUCCAACUCUGUGAGAAGUCUCCGGAGAUGCCCCUCAGCAGCAGACCGCUUCCAUUGGAAGUGGAGGACCGAGGGAGACAAUAGCACUCUAUUCAGGACCGGAAUUCAGACUGAAAUGAUGCGAGUCUGGCUCUCAACCCUCCAUGCACUAUAAAUUUUAUCAUUUACGCAUUGACUUUCCACAGCAGGAAAGAGACCAGCUAAAGUAGCAUGUAAUGUCCUUCCUGUUCCCAUGCAGCUGGCUGAG